GAUGAACGCUGGCGGCGUGCCUAAUACAUGCAAGUCGAGCGAACAGACGAGGAGCUUGCUCCUCUGACGUUAGCGGCGGACGGGUGAGUAACACGUGGAUAACCUACCUAUAAGACUGGGAUAACUUCGGGAAACAGGAGCUAAUACCGGAUAAUAUAUUGAACCGCAUGGUUCAAUAGUGAAAGACGGUUUUGCUGUCACUUAUAGAUGGAUCCGCGCCGCAUUAGCUAGUUGGUAAGGUAACGGCUUACCAAGGCAACGAUGCGUAGCCGACCUGAGAGGGUGAUCGGCCACACUGGAACUGAGACACGGUCCAGACUCCUACGGGAGGCAGCAGUAGGGAAUCUUCCGCAAUGGGCGAAAGCUUGACGGAGCAACGCCGCGCGAGUGAUGAAGGUCUUCGGAUCGUAAAACUCUGUUAUUAGGGAAGAACAAAUGUGUAAGUAACUAUGCACGUCUUGACGGUACCUAAUCAGAAAGCCACGGCUAACUACGUG
rnacentral:rRNA from 1 species